rnacentral:rRNA from 1 species
GGACUACAAGGGUUUCUAAUCCUGUUUGCUCCCCACGCUUUCGCACCUCAGCGUCAAUUCUGGUCCAGUGAGCCGCCUUCGCCACUGGUGUUCUUCCGAAUAUCUACGAAUUUCACCUCUACACUCGGAAUUCCACUCACCUCUCCCAGAUUCUAGCUAUCCAGUCUCAAGGGCAAUUCCGGGGUUGAGCCCCGGGCUUUCACCCCUGACUUAGAUAGCCGCCUACGUGCGCUUUACGCCCAGUAAUUCCGAACAACGCUAGCUCCCUCCGUAUUACCGCGGCGGCUGGCAC